CAGUCGCCGCGGGAAUACGAAGGGUGCAAGCGUUAAUCGGAAUUACUGGGCGUAAAGCGUGCGUAGGCGGUUUGUUAAGUCUGCUGUGAAAUCCCCGGGCUCAACCUGGGAAUGGCAGUGGAUACUGGCAAGCUAGAGUGCGUCAGAGGAUGGUGGAAUUCCCGGUGUAGCGGUGAAAUGCGUAGAGAUCGGGAGGAACAUCAGUGGCGAAGGCGGCCAUCUGGGACAACACUGACGCUGAAGCACGAAAGCGUGGGGAGCAAACAGGAUUAGAGACCCGCGUAGUCCCUGUCUCUUAUAC
rnacentral:rRNA from 1 species